rnacentral:lncRNA from 1 species
AGGAACCGGGUCAGUAUCUUAGAGAAGAAAUGAUCAUCUGGAUUACCUAGAAUGAACUAUGAGAACUGAUGGUUGGAUCUGUUGUAACCAUUCAGGAGGGUAAACAUUCUGAUGAAGGAGUAAACAUUCAGCAAUUCGUGAUGAUGUCCUUUCACAUGCUUCUCCUAUGUACCUCUGCAAAUCUGAAUAAAUGUGGGGAAAGAGGCAAGAAGGCAAGACCAUCAGAAGAAUCUAAAGUGGUCUUUCAGGGUGAGUCUAAACAGAGAAGAGAAGAAGAGAAGAGAAGAGAAGAGAAGAGAAGAGAAGAGAAGAGAAGAGAAGAGAAGAGAAAAGAAGAAGAGAAGAAGAAUCUCUGUGGAAAUAUUUGCAAAGUCAUAGCAAAGGAUAAUUGAAUUACACCUAUUGACAUGGGAAUAAAAGUUUUAAAUUA